rfam:Populus trichocarpa scaffold_5_contig_248, whole genome shotgun sequence.
CAGACCCAAUUUUUUUGGGUCCCGCGUCAAGACCUAACUCGCUUGGGUCCGGCGUAAGGACCUAAUUUUCUUGGGUCUUGCAUUAGGAUCCAAGACUAAUGGGUCUU